CAGAGCCCCCCAGCACUGGCACUCACGGUCUGGAUGCGGCACUGCUGGCCGUGGAGCUGGAGAACUGGCGUCUGGAAGAUGAACUGUUGGCACUGAAGGUCAGAAGGGAGAGGAGAGCAGAUGCUGGCUUACGGGCAGCCCAGCGGCACACGCAGGAACUGGCGCGGCUCCAGGCAGAGGUGGGAAUGCUGCGAUGCCACGCAGAGCAGAUGAGGCCAUGGCUGCACCCCUCUGUCUGCCCAUACCCUGCAGGGCCCCCGCUGCCACCAGCCCUUGCUGUGCCAGAACUUUUCAUGGAGCGCCCCAGGGCAGCACUGGGGCCUGGCAGACCCACAGCCCAUGUGGCCCCUGGACACCCCCUCACCCCCUUUGUGGCCCUGGAGGACCCUCCUCCUGCUCAGGAGCCCCCAGCACAAGACAGGGCUCCCCAAAGGUGAGCCAGGAACAGGCCAUGGCCCCACUGGACUGCCCUGCCACCCCCCUCCACCAGCAAAGUGGGGCUUUAGUAACUGUCAGGGUGAUGAAGGCAAAAGCUGCGUUCCAGCUGCAGAGAUUGGUUCAGGGACCAGCUGUGCAGCUGGUACCAGGAUCCCAUGGUGCUGGGAUGGGUGGAAAUGUAUGGGAUUACUGAUGGGACCAAAGAGGCUCUGUCUAGGCAUAUCAGCAGGAAAAGGACAGGCAAAGCCCCAAGCCAGCAGCAAACAGCUCAGUCUCCACCUCAGGACAGAGCCCACAGCCAAAGGAGUGGUUCAACCCCUCCUGCUCACAAUGGUGGUUUGGGGACAGUCAGAGGGCACCGAGGGGCACAAUAAAUUCCCUGUCCUCAGGCACAUCCCCAUAUCCAGCCCUCUGUAGGGAAAGCCUAACCCAGGGCAUGUACAGCUCAGCCCUGGGAACCAGCACAGUAGUUAC